AGUUUUAUAGUUUAAAAAAAAACUUUAAUUUUGUAAAUUAACAAUAUAUUUUUAAUAAUAUUCUAACUAC
rnacentral:tRNA from 1 species